CWAWAUGGGUGUUCAWACCAGACCCAGUUUUCUCUGCWGGCCCCCCCUWAARGGGKGRUKRAUUUUUUYKCMAWWSACCCUUAGAGUUUGAUCCUGGCUCAGAACGAACGCUGGCGGCGUGCUUAACACAUGCAAGUCGAACGUGAUCCGGAGCUUGCUCCGGUGAAAGUGGCGCACGGGUGAGUAACGCGUGGAUAAUCUGCCCUGGUAUCUGGGAUAACAUCUCGAAAGGGGUGCUAAUACCGGAUAAGCCUACGGACUCUUCGGAGUCUGCAGGAAAAGGUGGCCUCUAUUUAUAAGCUACCGUAUCAGGAUGAGUCCGCGUACCAUUAGCUAGUUGGUGGGGUAAUGGCCCACCAAGGCUACGAUGGUUAGCUGGUCUGAGAGGAUGAUCAGCCACACUGGAACUGAGACACGGUCCAGACUCCUACGGGAGGCAGCAGUGGGGAAUUUUGCGCAAUGGGGGAAACCCUGACGCAGCAACGCCGCGUGAGUGAUGAAGGCUUUCGGGUCGUAAAGCUCUGUCAGAGGGGAAGAAAUGAGACUGGCUAAUAUCCAGUUUUCUUGACGGUACCCUCAAAGGAAGCACCGGCUAACUCCGUGCCAGCAGCCGCGGUAAUAC
rnacentral:rRNA from 1 species